GACGAACGCUGGCGGCGUGCUUAACACAUGCAAGUCGAACGGAAAGGCCCUGCUUUUGUGCUUUGCUCGAGUGGCAAACGGGUGUGUAACACGUGAGUAACCUGCCCUUUACUUUGGGAUAACCUCAGGAAACUGUGGCUAAUACCGGAUAGGAGCUCCUGCUGCUUAGUGUGGGUUGGAAAGUUUCGGCGGUUGGGGAUGUACUCGCGGCUUAUCAGCUUGUUGGUGGGGUAGUGGCUUACCAAGGCUUUGACGGGUAGCCGGCCUGAGAGGGUGACCGGACACAUUGGGACUGAGAUGCGGCCCAGACUCCUACGGGACGCAGCGGUGGAGAAUAUUGCACAAUGGGCGGAAGCCAGAUGCAGCACCGCGGCGUGCGGGAUGACGGGCUGCGAGUCGUAACCCGCUUUCGCGUGUGACGAAGAGUGAGUGACGGUAAUGGGUAAGGAAGCACCGGCUAACUACGUG
rnacentral:rRNA from 1 species